UGUGAAAUAUGCACUCUGCAUGUGCCUAUGCUACAGUCUCUUCUUCUGUAUUUUGGCUUACAUACUGCCGAAACUCAAUAUAGCAAAGUUUAAAUCUUGCUAGAAUAGAAAAAUAAGAAGACACAAACGAGUAUGAACACGUUAACUUACACAAGAUUAAUGUUCCUAUUAACACUGUGAAUGGUAACGGAUGAAAUGAACUGUAUGUCGCUUCCGACUUACACCAAGAAGAGCAAGGCCUCCACAGGUGUGUCUCCACAGGUGUGCCUCCACAGGUGUGUCUACUAGUGUGUCCCCACAUACCUGCCACUGUACAACUGGUAAACAUUCUGCACUAAUGACGAUAUUAGGUGUAUUUUAUCCCAUCAAUUUCUUUAAGGCAGAAGAUAAACUUUUGUCUUGACAAAUAUGUUGGUGCUCAUCAACACUCAGGAGAUCUUAGGCCAUACUGUGUUGACAAGCACUCUUUAGUAGCAUGCAUAAAACA